rnacentral:lncRNA from 1 species
UUGUUUGUGCUUCUGAAGCAACCCCGAAGAGCUGCCCGGGGCCGGUUGGCCGCGCACCCACCUCGGUGCAGCGCCGAGCACUCCAGGCAGGACAAGGGCAGGCAGAGGGGGCUGCUGGGGAGCCGCUUCUGUCCGGGGUUCGCGGCUCGCCGAGCCUGUGGAAUACCAGAAGCUCCCCCCCUCCCCCAUUUCUUUCCUUUCGCCCUCUAGCCCUUGCAGCCAAGCCCCGGCGGAGACAGACCCAGCCCGUGCGAGGGCGCGCCCGUGGGCUGAAAAUCCGCGCUCAGCCCUUCUCUGCAAAGCCACACGCGCAGACCAGACCCUUGGCCUCUAUCAGCUUCAUCGCUGUGUCGUUAUCAUCGGCCUCGGGGCGACCCCCGGCCCCGCCCCCGACAGCCGCCGGAGGAGCCACAGGAUGGGACGCUGCGAGAUACACCCAGAGGCACAUGCCAAGAGAUUCCUGCAAACCUACCCCAGGAACCUCUGGCAACAUCUGUAAUGUCAAGCAUUUCAACCUCUGUUGGUGUCAUAAGAUACUGCGUGUAUGUCUACUCCCUGCACCAGUACGAGGUGUCUCUAAAAAUCCCAGGAUUCCCAAGCUUUGAAUACGGCUACUCCCUAUGGAUGGCUGUGGGGGGCAGCCUAGGGGCUAUUGCUGCAGCUGGUGUAUCCUGUUAUGAAGUCCUGUUUAAAAAAGAUCCCAGGGCAAAUGCAAAUGCAGUGAAGGAAGUAUCUGGGAGUGGGUGCACUGCUGGCAUGGACAUUGUGCGUACCUAUGUGUGAGCGAGAAGAGAUCUCCUGAGCCGGAGGACAUCAGCAGUGUCACCGAAAGUCACAGCUUGGUGACGUUUGACACAGCUCUGUGUGUGGAAAGGCUGGGAGAUCUGCUUUGUGAGCGUUUCUCAGAUACUGGUUCCUAAGGAUUAGGCUCAAGUAAGGGAUACAUUUGACAGGUUUCCCUGCUAGAUUUCUAGAAAUGUUUUUGGUAUCUACAGUUAGAUGGAACAGGCCGUGCAACUUCUCCCCAGAUCUCCUGGCCCGUGUUAUUCGCAUAUUGCUUUGGCCUGCUUUGCAUGCAGUAAAUAAGACGCCAAACUAAAGUUUGAGUCCAGGCAGGUAAAAGCGACUUGCUAAUUCGGUGCUCUGGGCUGUCAUAUGGGCCAAUAGAGACAAUGUGAUGUGAACACUUCGUCCAUAGUGCCCAAUAUGUAAUCACAUUCCCUUUGUUUUAGCCUUUGAACACCCCAUUUUCUGUACUGCUUUUGGAGGUUUUCCCCUACUUGGCAUUGGAGGCCUCAGCUGGAGGCAGUUCUGGGCAGCACACUUAAAGAAAGAUGGCGAGAGUACCCUGCAGAACCCCCAAAAACGAUGCAAAGUUUAGAAAACCUGACCCACAAGGAAAGGUUCAAAAAAUUGGGCACAGUCAAUCUUGAGAAAAGACGGGGGGCACCCAUGGGUGGCGGGUAUAAUAGGCUUUGCCUUCC